AUGGUCUGCCCGGGGCAGCGCGGAACCCACCCACCCGCCUGUCUCUGGAUCUCUGGGAAAGAACCUGGUAGAGUGUGCCCAUUCCCAGGGAGAGAGGAGGUGAGUGACCACAGGGAGCUGACGGAGACCAGAGACCCGGGGACCAUCGCACACGGUCAGUCAGGGGGCCUGGUCUGGGCCGCCACUGGCCCCCAGGACAGGGAGCCCCAAGGGCCCCGGGGAGGCCGGGUCUGGGGCGCCCCUCCGAGGGGAGCACGUCUCACUCCCGGGGUGAGGGCUCCCUCCGUGACUCGCCUGCAGGCCUGCCCGUGGUGGCCCCUGGAGCCAAGCAAGUCUCCCUAGAGAGAAGCAGGGAGGUGCUGGGUGCUGCAGCAGAGAGCGCAGCUCCGCGGCCAGACCGCCGGGCGUGGCUCCCAGGCUGCCAGGUGCAAGCAGGGGACCUGCAAGGCAUAGCCUGAGCCCUCUCCGCCUCGGCUUCUUCACUGGUAGCAUGGAAUGGUGAUAAUAGUCAGUGCGAUGACACGGAUGUGUAUCAGGCAGCUUCAGCUGCGUAAGGAGCCACCGCAAACUGGGUCCGAACUCCUACCAGUAGUCUCCUUGCUGGUGAGCCCAUAGGUGGGGGUGGUCUGGUGAGCUGGUUCAGGUCUGCUCCCACAUUUCCUGAUGCUCCCUGAGCCAGUGGCGCCCUGGGCAAGUGGCCCGAGCAGAAGCGAGCCGGCAGGCACGUGUGCCGCAGACCUGCCCAGAAGCCUAGCCACAUGGGGUCCCCGCAGCCCCAGAACAACGGCAGACAGAAAGGAGUGGAAAUGCUGGGUGCACCUCUCAGCCUGUCUGCCUGUCAGUGGCUGUGCAUGGGCCUCACCAUGAUGCAGAAGACUCUCCGCCUGCCUUCUCACAGAGGGCCACCCCUGCCCUUGCCCCUGUCUCCUGGGUCCCCUGGUCAACAGCCACAGGGGCAAAAAUUGCCCGGAAGCCUGAACUGAAGAGCUUCCCACACCUCCCUCCUCUCUGCAGAGAUGAGCUGCAAGCCCAUCGUCCACCUGGCGCGAUUUCACCAGUGGCUGCCGGCUCCCGGAGGGCUUUCUGAUAAAAAGCCACUUCUCCAAAACAUCAAACCCAAGUUCCUCUCGUCUUUCAAACAACCGAAGGGUCAGGUUUCCCUUGAGGGGACGGAGGCCCGAGGCAGGCCGCCGGGCAGCAGGCAGCGCAGGGUGUGGGCCAAGAGGCCAGCGGCAAGGCUCUGGGGUCCCGGAGCAUUUGGUAGCCUCCUUAAAGCACAUACAACACCUCGGGGAGACGGCUCAUCACAUCUCUGCUUGAUUACCAUUAGCGGCAGGGUGUUCACUACCUCUCAGUGCCAGCUGGUCCACAUUGGAAAGAAUCCGCUGAGAGAAAUGCUUUGGACGUGGCCCCAGCACUGGAGACAGAUGCAGCUGUCCACCCCUGGUUCUCAUGGGGAGACCAGGAGCCCGCUCUGUGACCCCAGGGAGCCAGGACCCACUGGGAGUUGGGGCGGGAGGUGGGAAGGGGCCGUACGCCCACUGUGCUGCUGUGGUUUUGUCCUGGGCAAGUGUGGAGUGGGUUUGUGGAGUCUUGGAUGGGGGAGCCCCGCCGCGGGGCGAGGCCAGGGCUGGGAAGGCGAAUGGCCCCACCCAUCGGCCCAGCUCAUUCCGGGUGGGGUGCUCUCUCUCUCUCUAGCUGGGGGCCCCAUCCCCUCUCAGCCUUGUCUGUGGGCCCACCAAGCCGACCAGAACGGCCCCAGUUCUUUUGUAAUCCCUCCUCUCCUCCCCUCACAGCACCUAAAGGACACUAGGGAUCCGGGGGCCCCCAGGAAGGGCGGAGCCCAGACCUGAACCCCAGACGACAGAGUCUCUGGCCUGAGCCCCUGACCACACACUGGGCAGGGGAAUGGAGGCCACCCCCAAGGACUUGGGAUCAGGGCAGGGCCCCAAGGAGAGUUGUCCCCUCCAUCGGUCCCUGCUCCUGCUCCGAGAAACUUUGCUUAUCGCUCAGCCAUCCUGCAGCGCCUCCUGGAUGCCCGGCCCGCAACCCCUCCUUCCAGCGUGUCCUCCAGACCAUUCGCAGUGACCCGGGGAGCAGGGAGGGCACUCUGCGGGGUCCCCAUUCCAGAGUGGGUGACUGGGGCCGUCAGAGGCACAGCCCCUCCUCAGGGAGGUCUCCCCAACUGUCCCCUCAGCAGGAAGUGGGGCAAAACUUCUGAAAUCUGGGCUGCCCCGCAGCAGGGACACGGCUCAGGAGGCAAGAAAUCACAAGGGCCUGGCGGUCUUGCCCUUUUCCCUCUGCCAGACAGGGAGCUCCUUGAGGGCAGACACUGAGCAGGGCGGGGAUCCUUGCGUCCCCUCAAACCCUCUGGUGACCGGGUUUGCCCUCUACACAAGGGGUCACCGGAGGGAGGAAUGGCUCCUAGCGAGCACAGGGCCGGGCUCACCGGCCGACGGCGCUCCCAGCUGGGGGCUCUGCAGAGAGAGGCCACCGUCACAGGGCCCUGGCUUCCGGGGGGCCCCACGCUCCUGCUCCCCUGAGGAGGGGCCUCCUCUUCCUCCACGUCCGGGGUCCCUCCUGCUCCUUCGAGGGUCUCAGGAUGAGGCCACAAAAGGCCUUCGGGGCCCAGAGCAAGCUCAGCUGCUCGCUGGCCGGGACGCCCCCUGGCCUAGGAGCCCUGCACCCACCAUCCCCCCCGAACCCUCCCCUCAGGCAGUCAGAGCAAACGGGGGCUCAGAGAGGCUCGGCCGCUUGCCCAGGGCCACACAGCAAGUAGGCAGCCGAAGCAGGACUUGAACCCAGGUCCAUCUGAGUCCUAAGCCUGGACUAGUGACUCCACUAGGGACAACCUGCCUCUAAAGAGGCAGAGGGAGCCUUGGGGCCCUCCUUGGGCAGACGGGGAGGCCGAGGCCCGAGAGGAGACUGCGCAAGUCCACACAGUGAGCUAGGGCGAACUAAGGUGAGCCCCUGGCUUUUCGGGCUGCAGCCCAGAGCUAGACCCAGCCCGGGCCAAGCUGGGAGGUCGCUGGUGGGCACAGCUCUGGGAUGCCUGGCUUGGAGCACCCCCUGCCCUGUCCAGAAGUGCCCGCGGGACACCAGUGGGGGCCUGGCCCUCGCGAGCAUUCACCAUUCACCACCGGCUGCCUGCCCCAGCUGAGAUGAGAACCAGGGCCCCGGCGGGGGACGGGGGGCCCCGUGGCCCACUCUCUCCCUCCUUAGCCCCUGGGUACAUGGGCACCCGGAGGCAGCCCCUCCAGCCAGGAAGGGCAGUGGCCCCUAAAGAAAGACCUGUGGCUGCUGGCGGGCCCUCCGUGUAGGCCGAGCAGAUCCAACCUGAGCACCCCAAGUGCUCCGUACGGAGUUCGAGUGGUGUUCAUCCCCUGGUCCUUUCUCUCGCUCAGUCCUGGGGUGCCUGACACACCUGAGCCAGGCUCGGGGAGGGCGCGGGGUGUGUGCAUGGGUCCUGGUCCAAAAUAGGUAGCUUCAAUGUGUGGCAGGGCCUGAGCCAGGAUGGGGCCCCUAGUCCAGACCGAGGCAUCAGGGAGGACUGCCUGGAGGAAGGCACAUCCACACUGACACAGCAGGGACGGGAGACGCUGUUUGGAUGGAAGGAGGGGCAGACCCGCAGAGGGGGGCAGGGGCUUCCAGACCAUCGUGCAGGGGCAAAUGUGUCGGAAGGAAAUGGAUGCACGUGGACAGGUGCAGCGAUGCCCUGGAGUCCGGACUCGGCCGGAGGCUGGAAGCAGCUGUGGCUGUUCUCAGGGGCGGGGCACCGCCUCCCCCCGAGAGCUGCCCUGUCCCGAGCGGCCUCCAGGACACCCGCGCUCCUCCCCCGUCCUGUGGCGCCUGGUUGGCGGUUGAUGUGCGGGGAGAUCACCUGCUGAUCCAGAACCACCGAGAGCGCCACCCCCCCUCCAGGAAGCCUUCCUGGGCUUGCCCGGGGUGCCCUGAGCCCUGGAGCUGCCCCUCUCAGAGGCAGGGAGGCAGCUGCUCCUGCCGACUCGGUGGCCUCUGUUCUGGCCACUGCGGCCAUCUCCUUCCCGCAGUCCCAGGGAGCCUUCACGGUCACUGUCCUCUCGCCCCUCGGUGUGGCCACCAGCCUGCCACCAGGCUGCCCCGCCUUCCCCUCCCGCACUCGCCCUCCCCACCCCCACCCUGUUCUCUGGCAACUCCCCUACAGCGCGGACGCCCCGCCUGGUGAUCGGGUUCGCCAUCUGCUUCCUUCUCUUCCUUGUUCUGCGUCCACACUCCCUCCCUGUGUGUCUGAGACGCUCCCCCCACACAUACACACACGUAGGCUCCCACCCACACGGGCAUGCACGCCCCUCCAUCCUGAUGUCAGGGUCCGCCAUGGGCCCCACGGCCCCGCAGGCCUGGCCCCGCACCAUGCUGCCCCACUUUGCUUAGCAGAGGGGACAGGCUCCGAGGUGUUGGCGACCCGCCAGGGCCACAGCUGGUAAACGGCAACGCUGAGGUUUGAACCAGCUUCUUCACCGUGAGGCCCACGCCGCCGCCGGCCAGCUCCCCGGAGGAGCCAGGGUACUCAGCAGGCCUGUCCCCACCUGCCCUCUGGCUGCUAACACAACAGAGAAGCUAAUCGAGACAUCAAUAUGUUUACUAGGAGCAACGGAACCUUCAGAAAAAGAAAGUGGAGAGGCCCAGGGAGGGCUGUCUGGGUUUCACUCUGUCGAACUGAGCUGAGACAUCUUCAGAGGAGGGGCCCUCAGGGCUUUCUGCUCCUUCCGCUCCCCCAGAUCCCGACUGCAGACAGGCUGAUUGGCGUCACUGCUGGGCCUCGGGUCACACAGGGUCCCUGAGCCCUCAGCUCUGGAGGGGACAGCUGGGGAGUCCCCACAGGCUGCAGGGACCCAGCACUCUGAACCCCGAAGGGGCCGCCAAGCCCGGGUGCACUCCCGAGUGAAGCCUUGCAUGGCCCCGGCCUCAGCAACCCGUCCCCGAAGCCCCCGGUCCCACGCAGGUGGCUCAGUCCCGUGGCCGCCCAGCACAUGCAGAGUCCAGGUGAAGGAGGGGCCCGGCGAGGGGCCCGCAGCCUUUUCCGUGGACCGGUCCCCCCCCCACCUCACCAGUGCCCCGACCCUGCCUGUUCAAGGGGGUGCCCGACCUCACACCGGGUGGGAGGUGGAGGCUGGCAGGUUCGGGGUGGCCCAAGUCUUCACGCUGUGCCACGGCGGGGGACAGGGACGCUGGCACCAUCUGCAGUGCGCACCUCCGCCUUCGCCUCAGCAGCAGGCAGAGGGGACCACCCAUUCCUCUGUUCCCAGGAGGAGCCCGUGGCCAGAGGCGAGGAGGAGCGGGCCGAGGUCGGCCCUCGGCGGACACCCGGACACUGGAUUCGUGAGGGGGCCACUCCAUUAGGUUUAUACACGUCCAGUCUCUAUGUCGUGCGGCCCAAACUGCCGUGGUACCGGGUCCCGGCUCUGGGAUGGGAAACAGACUCCCAACAGGGGGCUGAAGACAGCAGCCGGCCCUGGCUCGGCCCCCCGCCGGGCCCUGGGCUCCCCUCCCCGCUGGGGAGCUGAGCCGGCUCACGGCCACCCCACCGGGCCCCGGCGGCUGCAGCCAGCAGGCAGACCCACUUGGGCGGUGGAGCCUCGGUUCCCAACCCCGCUCUGACCCCCUCCCCGCGGAUUUCAGGCCACAGGCAGCUCCCGGAGAGCGGUUGGCGGGGGUCAGGGGGCCCAGCUGGUGAACAAACAGUCCUGCUCUUCCAGAAAAAUCCAAAGUCUCAUUAUCUCGUCCACUCAGCAACCCUCCAGUGACCCUCGGCCUCACCAGGCAAUGCCAAGUCCAGCCACCUGAUGCGGACGUCAGCCCUCCAGGUCCGGUGGCCCUGGCGCGUGUCAGGCAGUGGGACUGUAUGAGCCUGAAGGACGGCUGGCCACCCCGGCCAGAAGGGAGGACCAGGGCCAGGGGUCUUCUUUGGUGAAGAUGGACCGUGAUAGGUCACACCUGCUCUGCCAGGGGCGAGGGGUGGGAAGGAGCAGCUCAGGCUGAUGCACAUGCCUGCUGACUUCCCCAGGGACCCCCAGCCACCAGGUCCCGGAGCCCGAGGGGGCCACGGUCCCCUUCUCCAAGCUUCAGGUCACACUACUGGGGCAGGGAAGCUCUCCCUUCUCCGAAUCACUCAGGUGCCCACCCCUCCUCGGCUGACCUCCGCCAUUGUCCCCGGAGGAGAGCGCCCCACCGUCCAGCAAGCCCCCCUCAGCGGCAGAUGGACACCUGGCCCCCGGAGCCUCGGCUGAGGCUGCGGUGUUUGUCUGGCCCAUCCCACAUGGGGAGCAAAGGCAGCAGCUUCUGAUAGGAUGGGGAAUGAUGGGUCAGAGGGUCCAGCCGGCCAGCCAAGCGCUCGCCCCCCACCACCCACCCAACCACCCACCACCUCCCGAGAGGGUCCCCGCCCCGUGAGGGCGUUGGGGAGUUUCUUCCAGGGACCCACCCAUUUCUGGGGCCCGUCAGAGACUCUGGGACACAGAACCCUGGGCCAUGGUGGUCACUUAGAAAACCUGCUCAUCAGAGAACUCUAAAACCCAGACCAAGAGCCACGGCCUUGACCAUGAGUCCCGGGGCGCACAGGACCGUGCUUCCCCUCACACAUCGCUUAAUGUUUAACCGCCCCGGGGCCUUGCCAGCUGCCAAUGACACAAUAUUAAUUUUGCACAAAAGAGAGUUUCAGAGCGGCCGCCCCAGAGUCUGUGGGGCAUCGGUCACGGAGGCCUCAGCCUGGCAGUCCAGGGCUGGGGCGAAGGGCGCCGCACUCCUCGGGGCGUCUCGGGAGCCCGGAGCCCCAUCCUGACUUCCCCACCUCACUUGUUUCUGGACCCUGCUCAAAGACCCCCCCGAGAGGACCCCCAGUGUCCCUGCCCCUCCGGAGUCACACUUGCCCCGUCGGUCUCUGUCCCCUCCGCUCCCUUGUGCGUCUGAGCAAGAAGCCGACAACGCUCCUUCGAGGCCUGGCCCCUUGAGAGCAGACCUGGAGUGGGGGCGCGGGCUCAGGCGGCCGCUCCUGGAAGUGCAGUGGGGGCUGGGGGUGCAUUCCCGAGCUGGUCGCUGCUGCAGGCACCGGGGCCCCGUCCCUAGGGCCCCUACAUGACGGCAGAGCCACACCCCAGAAGUGUCACCCUACACGCUGCCCGGGCAAGGCGCCUGCCCGCCGACCGCCUGACUGGGGGGCCUUCGUGGGCCUACCCAGUGUCUCCAACAGGCCACACCUGCAACCAGUGACAUGCAGGAUGCUAGUAAGGGACGCGGGACAGCCCCCAACCAGCCCAGUCCCAGGCUGGGAGCUGUGCAGGUGAGCCCAAGUGCCCCUGCCUCCUGGGUCAGGAAAAGGCAACCACACCCAUUUUAGAGACAGGAAAACUGAGGCCUGGCAGGUCAUGUGGCCUUGCCUUUGGGUGCCAAGGCUGGGCGCAAUCUGACCACAGCCACGCUCCAGGAAUCUCUACACGCACGAACUCGGGCACUUGCAGGCCUCGGGGCUCAGGGCUCGGGGCUCCGCGUGGGGAAGAAAUCAAGGAGGCCGCCUUCUCCUGCGCCACAUCUGAGGGGGGCCACCUGUGGGGACAACAGCAUAGGACAGCGGCUGAGAGACCCAGGAGGGCCGGCUCUGGGCCCGUGGCUACGGGAGCUCAGCCAGCACGGAAACCUCCCUCUUUCCCUCUAUAAGCAGAGGGAGAGGGCCGGGGGCGGACGCUAGCCAUCACAGGCCUGCGUGGAAAUUCUGAGAACAUUCCGGAGGACGGCCAGGCCGAGCGGGCCCUCCAGUGUCUUAAUUACAUGGAACACUCAGCCCUUUCGCUCACGGAAAACUCCACUGAUGGAAAACACACUCAAAGUAAGUAACACAGACCCCGUGAGCCCGGAACCUGCCUGCACACGGGCUCCGCCCCCGCCCAGCGCACCCCCCUCGCCCUCCACCAGGUCUGGGCUUGGCCCCAAGGCUCCCAGAGUCAGGACCACGUGAGUUAGAGCCCCACCAGCUCUAAUGGGUCACUAGCAGCUCCCUGAGCUCCGGGCCUCGCUGUUCUUGUCUGUGAAAUGCAGACGGCCACUCGGCUGGCUGUGAGACCCUGGAGGGAAGGGACAGUGAGCCCUACCACAGCUCACAGUAAGCGGGCAAACAUACAUUUUAAUUCUUUUCUGUUUUAGAGAUGUUAUGUAUUUAUUCUUAGAGAGAGGGAAGGGAGGGAGAAAGAAAGGGAGAGAAACAUCAACGUGUGGUUGCCUCUCACAGGACCCGUACUGGGGACCUGGCCCACAACGCAGGGCUGUGCCCUGACUGGGAAUCGAACCAGCGACCCACUGGUUCACAGGCCGGCAGGCACUCAGUCCACUGAGCCUGGGCCAUUUUAAUCCUUUCACGUCCUCGAGUGUCUCUGUGGUAGUUCUCGGAGCCCACGGGACUCCGGAGCUGAAAUCGGGCGGGGCCGGGCCAGAAUGCUGCGGUGAGGGGCCGCAGACGGGAGUUCAGGGACAGUGGGCAAGCCACCAGGUGACAGAGGCGAGCACCCUCCUGCUCCGUCCCUUGGCCCAGCCUCAUGUCCUCGCCCUACAGUCUGUCUUCAGUCUGUCUGUCUGUGUCAAGGCGUCAAAGCGGAUGGAUGGACAGCGCAUCAACAGCCCCGGAGGGAGGGCUCCGGCUCCAGCGGGCAGCGGGGGGCAGGGCCGGGGAGGGGGCGCCUGAGGGGAGCCCCAGCCAGAUGCAACCAGGGCCUGGAGGGCCGGAAAGAGCCCCACCCCCGAGGGCCUCCGGGGCUGCCCCCCUCAGAGGGGGGGACUGUGCUGCCAGCCCCCACCCCGCAGAUAGGAAGGCUGGGGCCUAGGGACGGGGACCGGCACCUCAUUGCCGCGUCAGAAGCGGGGCCAGCGCUGGAACCCCGAGGCUGGGGAAGUGGGGUGCCCGCUCCCCCUGCCCCCCAACCCGGCCCCACCUCGCCCACAGCUCGGCGCCUGGGCUGCGGUCCAAGCAGCUCUGGAGGAGACUUGUUCGACACCGCAGUGUUUUUCCUGCGACUUCCUCUCUGCAGGGCACUGUGCUAGGCCUUCCAGAAACUUCCGAGGAAACCAAAACCCGAGCCAAUUUCUCUGGCCUCUGGUGGCUGGGGGUUGGGUGGGGACGGGGGUGCAAGGCCCUCACACAAGAGGAAAUGCUGUGGCUUGUGGCAAAGCAAUGAACCCACUGUCCCCAGGGCAAGACCCCCCACCCCUAGCAGCCCCCCACCCUGCUGCCGCCCCACGGAAUCCCGGCCUUGGAGCCUGCACCCCGACCGGGUCAGGGUGGGCUCAGCCACUGAGUGUGCCUCCUGGGCCACCGUGGCCAGCCCUCGCCUCGCCCGCAGCCCCCAAACCCCACGACCCCCCCUCCCUUGGAGGGAGCCCCACUGCUUCACGCCGCAGUUGCUGACCCGGCACCCAUAGGCACGGUCACUGAGCUCUGCCCCGAGCACGGUGGAGAGCCAGGUGAGCACGGGGUGGGCCCCCGAGGCUGCUCUCUGCUCUCAAUCCACACGGGACCUCACAGCCAGAAGCCCAGGUGCCCACUCAGCUCACCUGUGCCUCGCAGGAAGGCCCCGGUGGCUUCGUGGAGGGCAAGCCCUGG